rnacentral:lncRNA from 1 species
UUCAUAAGCUCUUUAGCUCUCUUUUAAUUUUUGUUUGUUUUAGUGGUGCCAAAAUGCAGAAAUUCAUGUCCUCACUGAACACAUACAUGGUUCCAGGAUACAUAAAUGUUCUCCAGGGCAUGAAAUCAGAAGGAUUGCAAAUGAGGAUACAGAAGGCAGGAAUUUUCCAUAAGUCACUGAAGGUCCAUAAUGGCUAUUGGCUAUUUGGCUAUUUAAAAUAAAAUAUCUCUUCUGGAUUGUCUGAUCCUGCUGCUACUGCCUUCAGUGGGGCUGAAUCAGGCAGUUAUCAUCAGUGCCAUGUAACUCCUCCCUUUCAAACCAUCCCUCCAGCCAUACUUUGUAAAGCUGCAGUCAAAUAAUUAUCAUGUGUAAAAGUACGUGCAGGAGCGGAUGAAAUUCUCUUCCUAAACAUAGCUUACAGCACAUCCAUUUAAGUGUAAAUGCUGGGGUUUCUGGACUUGAAGAGAAAAACAGAAUCAAAGGCAAAUGUUUACCUGCCAUGGAUAUGGAAGUUUCCUUCAUAGUCUCUUUAGUCAAGUACUCCUGGUUAGGGAAGUGAAGCUCAUUUUUCAGAAUGUUGUCCAUUUGCUAUUUUCUAAAUAAUUCUUCUUGGUCACACUAAACCUUAAAUUAACCCCCACUCCCACCUGCGUGCAAUUUUAGCACGAUGGCAUUAACUGCAGAAGGAACAAAAAAAGCCCUUCAGCUGCCACUUCAGCAUGCCCCAUAUCUUGGAUUGUUUUUACUUUCAGCUUUUAAAGUCAGAACAGGCAUCCAGCAAUAACCAGCCCUUCUUUUUUCCUCUAAGAGACUGGAGACUCUGCUGUCUUAAACAAGGGAGUUCUGUGAGCAGGAUCGAGGUUGUGCUUUUGGUGUUGUAGGUGUGAAGCUCUCAUAAGCUGGGCUUGCAUUUCUGGGCUUUGUUAAGCCUGGCAGCAAACAGUGCUGGGGAUGCAGCUGGCAGUGGGUACCUGGAAGGCCUUACAACCACACACAGAGCAGAGCUGAGAGUCUUCACUCCCUUCUAGAUGGAGCUGGCAUCCAUCCUGGAGUAUAGGCACAGUCCCCAAAGGUUUUUGUGUGGAGUGACUAAUCACUUUUCUCCUUAGAACUGGGCAGGGAAGCAUAAUAUGUGUGUGAUUACCAGAACAUAAAAGGAGCACAGGAUUAUUUUCCAUGGGAAUCCUUGGGAAUGUCUAGGAGGGUGGCUGUCUAAGGAGGUGUUCUCUGCAGGACCAUGAAACUCUCCUCCCAGCUUCCUCAUCAUUGUGCUGCGACUUAUCCCAAAGCUAUUCAGUGCUGCAUGGGGUUAACCAUGAGCCUUCUUUAGCUCUAACUCUCCACCUCUGAGUCCUUCCAGGACACUCAUAAGCCAUGUGCUAUAUUUGCCUAGCUGGAGUUGUUAUGAGGAUGUUGACACAAGGGAAAAUAUCUGCCUGGAGAAGAGGGUGGACUGGCACCCUUUGAAAUUAAAUAUGGCCAAGCAUCUGCAAAGGACUGAGUGGGUCAGUGUCACUGAGCAUCCCUGAAGCCAAGGGCUGAGCAAAUGAGGAGGCAGGCAGGGUACAUACAACUCAUUUCCCCUGUGUACCACAUACCAUCAAACAUCUGACCCAGCCAUGUCAGCAUUUCCAUAUUUCAAAUGCUUAAUUUAACUCCAGAAGCCUUUCCUGAUUGAUACCUGUGUGGGGGUUUCUCCCACAACCAGGUCUAGACUGGGUAAACCUGCAAUUAUAACCACUCAGACACUGAAUAGGACCCUGUACUCACAGCAAGACACCGGGUGUGAAAAGGAGGUCAAGCCACAAAAACUGGUUUUGCCAAAGUAGUCAGUCAGCUGUUCAUCAUGUCACCUGCUGAGGCUGAUCAAAGAGCUUUGCAGCAAAGGGAAUGUGGGUGUUCAGAGGGGAUGGUCUCACAAUAGCUGUGAGAGAAAGGGAGGAAAACCCAGGUGAAGUUUGGCUAUCAGAAGGCAGCUUUCUGAAAUACACUUAAAGGUUCAAACCUACUUGAAAUAACUCCAAGGAGUGGAGGAAAAGGUGCUUUUCCGAGAUCCAUCCACUUUUGUGCUCCCUGAAGUAAAACCAGAAUAUUUGGCAUCUGUUUGUUCAGUUCUCAUGAGGCCCUGGAAACAGCUGUAUCAAAAAUGCAGAAACCUCUCAAGGGUGGAAAGGCAUCUUGAGAGUAGAGCAGCCCUUCCCUUGUGCCAAAAGUAGCCUGGCUUUAGGACUAAUCCUGAGGUUGCAGUGACACGUGCAAUGUUCCUGCACACUUAUUUUUCAAAUUGUGGGCCAGGGCAUGCUGAGUUGGGAAUGCACAGGAGUAAAGGAGUGCUGCACAACUGGCAGCAGAAAGAGAAGGUUUUGUAGCAGUUUUUCUUCCCAAGCAUUCAGCACAAACAGGUAUGCAAAAAAGUUCAAGAAGCAGCUGUGCACCCAUCUCUUGUUGAGUCCAUGCCAGGGACUUGACUCUAGUGGCACUCCCAAAACCUCCAUCCUGCACCACUAUGUGUGAAAGAAUCACCCCCUGUCUCACUAAACCUGCUAAUGCCACCCUCUCACCAGGGUGGAAUUUGGGGGUGGGAAGGCUGAAGUGUUGAACUCAAGAUUAGAGCAUUUUCCUGCUAUCUGCACCACAAAGACAAUGUGUCAUGUGCUUGUGAGACUACGAUUUAGGUUUGUUAUCAUCUCUUUAUAUCAAAAGGAAGUUAUGCACACAAAGGAAACACCAAACCACCAUGUCAGGGGGGCUAUAAAUCACUUACUGCUGAAUGUGAAGAGGACAACAGAGUGCCCAGUAGGAAAGCGAGAGUUUUGAAAAUACUGCUUUUCCUCACCAUCUCCCUAUUUCAAUAAACUUUGCUUUUAUUUUGGAAGAGGAUGAAGGAGAGGACGAGGUUUGAGGAACACAGCUACAAAUGACACCAGAUUUGUCCCAUAGGCAUGACUCAGGCCUGACUGUGUGCACUGGUCAAUGCCUUCCCAGCCCUCAGCACAUUUGCUGCUGUUGUCCAAGUUGAUCCCAUGGUGUCCAGAAAAGCCAUAGAGGCAACGGUGCAGAGAUCACCUCAAUGCUGCCACUUUCUGCCCUAGUAAAAUGCAGGUUUAUAAAAACCAAAAAAUGGAGAAGUGGGAUAGUCAGCUCAUCUGGCAGCAAGGGUCUGUUCUGUUUGCUUGCUCUGGUCUUACCAGCCUCCAAAAGGACAUCCUGGGAAGACUGCAAAGAGCUCUCCACAUCCUCUUCCCCUGGCAGGUGCCCAAAAGGAUCCCGACAAUUCUCCAAACCACAUCCUAAAAUCCCACUCCCAAUGAAAGAAAAAAACUUCUGUAUUUCCAAACUCUGUGACCUCCCAAAAAGUGUCAGCCCUGAAAGACAUCACUCUGACUGCAAAUGUUGCAGAUUGUUUCUGU